UUACACAGUUUCCCCGGAGGGAAAGUUGCAAAGCACUUUGAAGAGAGAGUUAAAGAGGACGUGAAACCGGUAAGAUGGAAACGGAUAGAGCUAGCGUAUCUAGCUUGUAUUCAGCCGCUCUGGCUUGGGUGCCCUGUCUGCUGGUCCGGAAUCGGCCAGUUGGCGGGUGUCUCCCGGGUCUUGGUGGUGCACUUGCAAGUGGAGUGCGCUGAGGCCUGUGGGUCAGCGGUUGGAAGUGCGCUUUGAGGAUACCCUUCGGGGUAAAACCCGGGCGUACCUAAGACUGUUUGGCCUGCUUGUACAUGAGCGAGGCCAACGGGUUUGGCUGGGGCUGAGCUGGUCGCCGGUUACGGUCGCAUGCGACACGUGCUGGUGGCUGGUUUGGUCUGGGUCUGGCUCCCUCGCUCGCCCUCGGUGUAAAAGCUAGUCAUCUAUCCGACCCGUCUUGAAACACGGACCAAGGAGUUUAGCGUAUACGCGAGUCAUUGAGUGAAAAACUCAAAGGCGCAAUGAAAGUAAAGGCAUCCCUUGUGGAGCUGAUAUGCGACCCCGGGUGCUUCGGUGCCCGGGAGCAGCAUAGCCCCGUCCCGAUCGCUUGCGAUGGGGCGGAGGUAGAGCGUGUUCGCUGAGACCCGAAAGAUGGUGAACUAUUCCUGAGCAGGAUGAAGCCAGUGGAAACACUGGUGGAAGUCCGAAGCGAUUCUGACGUGCAAAUCGAUCGUCUGACUUGGGUAUAGGGGCGAAAGACUAAUCGAACCAUCUAGUAGCUGUUUUCCCUUCCGAAA
rnacentral:rRNA from 1 species